UGACGAGAGCUAUGCUGUCUCUUUCGAAAUAUUUAAAAAUUAACUUUUAGGUAAAGAGGCCUAAAUUUAUUUAAGGGACAAGAAGACCCUGUUGAGCUUUAGUGAUCCUGUAAGUUUACAAGCAGCUUAAUAACUGUUGUAUUUUUGUGUAUUUAUAUAUAACAUAAGUUUGUAGGUAAUCUUUAGUUGGGGCGACUGAGGAACAUUAAAAGCUUCCUUGAAUUUAGUAAUAAGUUAAAUUAUUUAAUUUUUUGAUGCAUUUAUGUUAAUUUUGAUCCANUUUAUUUUGAUUAAGAGAAAAAGUUACCACAGGGAUAACAGCGUANUCUUUCUGGAGAGAUCUAAUCNAAAGAAGGGUUUGCGACCUCGAUGUUGGACUAAGAUAUCCUGAGGGUGCAGAAGUUCUCAAAGGUUGGUCUGUUCCACCAUUAAAAUCUU
rnacentral:rRNA from 1 species